rnacentral:rRNA from 1 species
GACGAACGCUGGCGGCGUGCCUAAUACAUGCAAGUCGAGCGAAGCGGCGGAUGGGUGAGUAACGCGUGGGUAACCUGCCCUUAAGUCUGGGAUACCAGUUGGAAACAGAUGCUAAUACCGGAUACUAAAGGAUGGACCUGCGAUGCAUUAGCUAGUUGGUAAGGUAACGGCUUACCAAGGCGAUGAUGCAUAGGCGAGUUGAGAAACGGAUCGGGCACAUUGGGACUGCGGUACGGACCAAACGGCAACGGGGGGCAGUGGGGGGGAAUAUUGCACAGUGAGGCAAACCCUGUUGAAGCAACGCCGCGUGCGGGAUGACGGUCUUCGGGUUGUAAACCGCUUUCAGCCAUGACGCGGUAGUGGCAGAAGAAGCACCGGCUAACUACGUGCCAGCAGCCGCGGUAAUAC